GAGAACAGCAGGGGCUUCCCCUGCAUCCCAUUGUGAUGCAGGCCGGCUCCCCAGCUUCAGCCUGGGCUGGAUGCCACGCUAGUGAGGAUGCUCUGAGUCACAGGGUGUCUGCACGCUGCGCAGCCCAGCCCCGCACGGCAAGCGAUGCGCCUGCAAGCCCUUAUCACAGCCUGCACGUAAAAGGCUCCUCCGGCUGCCUGUCCUCUGCGUCACGGGGGUCAGGUUCCGGUGAUGGGAUUUCCCUGUGCAGGGCACAGGAGAUUGCAUGCAGAGAAACUUUCCUGCAGCUGGAAAUUGUCUCCAAGACAUGCUAAGAUGAGCCAGAAUGAGUGAUGGAGGUGCACUGAGUCCCUGCUGCUCUCACUGGAGGUCACCUUGAUCUUCCCCAUCUUCAACCUUGGCUGCUGAUAGCACUGCUAACACAGCUAUGGGCUUGGGAGCACCCAAUGGGAACCACAGCGUUGGGCUGGUAGAGCACCCAUUCUUCUAGGAAUGUCCCUGAGCAGAUCACGCUGCACAGAGCUUCCAAGUAUGAACAAAUCUAAAUGAAGACAGCUGGCAGAGGCUCUCGUCAUCUAACUCCUUCCAGAUGUGUACUUGUAUGCUGCAGUUCCUGACUGGUGACACCUCUGAGGGAAUCCUUGGGGACACGGCGGUGAUGGGG